UACGUAGGGCGCAAGCGUUGUCCGGAAUUACUGGGCGUAAAGCGUGCGCAGGCGGUUUUGCAAGACAGAUGUGAAAUCCCCGGGCUUAACCUGGGAACUGCAUUUGUGACUGCAAGGCUAGAGUGUGUCAGAGGGAGGUGGAAUUCCGCGUGUAGCAGUGAAAUGCGUAGAGAUGCGGAGGAACACCGGAUGGCGAAGGCAGCCUCCUGGGAUAACACUGACGCUCAUGCACGAAAGCGUGGGGAGCAAACAGG
rnacentral:rRNA from 1 species